rnacentral:tRNA from 1 species
GCCCCCAUAGCUCAACGGACAGAGCAACUCACUCCUAAGGAGUAGAUCGGGGUUCAAUUCCUCGUAGGGGCACCA